rnacentral:rRNA from 1 species
CUUAGAGGUUAAGCCCGAUGAACCUGAAUAUCCAUUAUGAAAAAUUCAUCAUUAUAACUUAUAAUAUUAUUAAUUUAAUUAUUAUAUGUGAUAGUGUGCAUUUUUUUCAUAUAAGGACAUUGUGAUCUAUUAACAUAAUAAAAAUAUUUAUCAAAAGAUCAUUAGCUUUAAGUUUAUUUUAAUUGAUUUGCUUUUAGCAUAUUAACAUAAAAUAAAUGCAAAUGAUUUGAUAAAGUGUUGAUAGAUUUAUUAUAUAUAAUGCUUAAAUUUUGUAGUAGAAUUUU